rnacentral:rRNA from 1 species
GCCUAACACAUGCAAGUCGAGCGGUAGCACAGAGAGCUUGCUCUCGGGUGACGAGCGGCGGACGGGUGAGUAAUGUCUGGGAAACUGCCUGAUGGAGGGGGAUAACUACUGGAAACGGUAGCUAAUACCGCAUAACGUCGCAAGACCAAAGUGGGGGACCUUCGGGCCUCAUGCCAUCAGAUGUGCCCAGAUGGGAUUAGCUAGUAGGUGGGGUAAUGGCUCACCUAGGCGACGAUCCCUAGCUGGUCUGAGAGGAUGACCAGCCACACUGGAACUGAGACGCGGUCCAGACUCCUACGGGAGGCAGCAGUGGGGAAUAUUGCACAAUGGGCGCAAGCCUGAUGCAGCCAUGCCGCGUGUAUGAAGAAGGCCUUCGGGUUGUAAAGUACUUUCAGCGAGGAGGAAGGCAUUAAGGUUAAUAACCUUAGUGAUUGACGUUACUCGCAGAAGAAGCACCGGCUAACUCCGUGCCAGCAGCCGCGGUAAUACGGAGGGUGCAAGCGUUAAUCGGAAUUACUGGGCGUAAAGCGCACGCAGGCGGUCUGUUUAGUCAGAUGUGAAAUCCCCCGGGCUCAACCUGGGAACUGCAUUUGAAACUGGCAGGCUUGAGUCUUGUAGAGGGGGGUAGAAUUUCCAGUGUAGCGGUGAAAUGCGUAGAGAUCUGGAGGAAUACCGGUGGCGAAGGCGGCCCCCUGGACAAAGACUGACGCUCAGGUGCGAAAGCGUGGGGAGCAAACAGGAUUAGAUACCCUGGUAGUCCACGCUGUAAACGAUGUCGACUUGGAGGUUGUUCCCUUGAGGAGUGGCUUCCGGAGCUAACGCGUUAAGUCGACCGCCUGGGGAGUACGGCCGCAAGGUUAGAACUCAAAUGAAUUGACGGGGGCCCGCACAAGCGGUGGAGCAUGUGGUUUAAUUCGAUGCAACGCGAAGAACCUUACCUACUCUUGACAUCCAGAGAACUUAGCAGAGAUGCUUUGGUGCCUUCGGGAACUCUGAGACAGGUGCUGCAUGGCUGUCGUCAGCUCGUGUUGUGAAAUGUUGGGUUAAGUCCCGCAACGAGCGCAACCCUUAUCCUUUGUUGCCAGCGAUUCGGUCGGGAACUCAAAGGAGACUGCCAGUGAUAAACUGGAGGAAGGUGGGGAUAACGUCAAGUCAUCAUGGCCCUUACGAGUAGGGCUACACACGUGCUACAAUGGCAUAUACAAAGAGAAGCGACCUCGCGAGAGCAAGCGGACCUCAUAAAGUAUGUCGUAGUCCGGAUUGGAGUCUGCAACUCGACUCCAUGAAGUCGGAAUCGCUAGUAAUCGUAGAUCAGAAUGCUACGGUGAAUACGUUCCCGGGCCUUGCACUCACCGCCCGUCA